AUGUUCUUGUCUCUCUCCUCAGUUUGUAGUGAGUGGUGGGACUGGGAGCUGGGUAUGACUGGCCUUGGCACACUAAGUGUAGGUUUUAGCAAGGAUGGCGGUCUGGCGAGUGGCUUUGGCUGGGUUAGGACAGCGAUAGAACCGAGAGGUCUGUGUAAGGAUGAUUGUGAGAGACUCUGCUGGAAUUUGGCAGGCCCGCUGCUUGGAGAGGCGCCCCACGCUGUGACUCCCAUUCAGCGGUCCAGCGCGCUGUGAGGUUGGGAAGUUUCACUGAGCCGUGCACUCAAUGGCUCCACAAAGCUGAUUACAAGCCCCAGCGAAUUCCUGAAGGGACCGGGCAGCCACGCAGGUGUGCGGGAAACCGGGGCAACCCUUCAGAGUUAUAGUGACAGAGCAAGACAAACCGGGAGACCACACAAAAAGCAAAGCGUCCCGCGAAGUGGCCAAGGAUUUGGUGGGAAAAGAACACCUUAAAUGUCUUCUCCCUUGUGAGCGAAAGGGGAAGGGAGGAGAAACUUUCCGAAGGCCUAUUAAAACGAUGCCCAGUCUCAUCAGGACAGUGAACUGAAAUGCAUUUUUAAGCAUCGGAAACGAAUUUCUGUUUUUAAGUUUGCCAUAUGCAUUCUGAAUGAUCUAGUGUCUAGUGUCUCGCUUAAAAUAGGGUUCGGGGUUAACGACGAUUCAUAAAACGUAAAGGCCUGCUUUCCCUCACCGUGCCCAAUUCAUUUCUCUGGUGCUAAAAAAUCUACAUCAAUGAAGCAGACAGCGUAUUUAAUUAGAGCGGAGUCUAACUAUCAAUUACUCAGGAAAAACACAGGAUCCCCAAGGACCGGUAAUCAGCGCGCCAACAGUCGGCCGCGCGCUCAUUACAGCAAAGCGACAGGCGGGAAUAAUAAUCAGGGCGCGGCGACGCAUCUGCCUACAGUAUUACCACUGCUUCCUGUUGCCUCUCACAAGUUUAAUAACUCCUAGUUUUUGCUCAGUUUAGCCAAGUGGUUGCUCACUUGUUGGCGAUAUGACACUUUUUAAUGGUUUUGCUUGCUGAAUAAAAUUAGUCCCACUGCUUGUCUCUUUUAGUCUAUAAUAUAAGCUUUUGCACUUCACACAAAAUGGAAUUAAAAUAGUUUGUAACAUUUUUUUCGCUCAUUCCACGUACAUAACACAGUAACACAGAAGUAUACUUGGUGUUAAUUUUUGUUAUAGAAUUUUCAGCUACCAGCAUGCUUUGUCAUUUCAGUGACCAGUGUUUGUCUUUCUUCCUGUCAAC
rnacentral:lncRNA from 1 species